AGCGGAGGAAAAGAAACUAACAAGGAUUCCCCUAGUAACGGCGAGUGAAGCGGGAAGAGCUCAAAUUUGAAAUCUGGCAGUCUUCGAUUGUCCGAGUUGUAAUCUAUAGAGGCGUUUUCCGUGCCGGACCGUGUCCAAGUCUCCUGGAAAGGAGUAUCAAAGAGGGUGAUAAUCCCGUACUUAACACGACCACCGGUGCUCUGUGAUACGUCUUCUACGAGUCGAGUUGUUUGGGAAUGCAGCUCAAAAUGGGUGGUGAAUUCCAUCUAAAGCUAAAUAUUGGCGAGAGACCGAUAGCGAACAAGUACCGUGAGGGAAAGAUGAAAAGCACUUUGGAAAGAGAGUUAAACAGUACGUGAAAUUGUUGAAAGGGAAACGAUUGAAGUCAGUCGUGUUCUUUGGAUUCAGCCAGUUCUGCUGGUCUACUUCCUUGGAACGGGUCAACAUCAGUUUUGUCCGGUGGAUAAAGGUAGUAGGAAUGUGACUUCUCCGGAAGUGUUAUAGCCUAUUAUCACAUACACUGGGUGAGACUGAGGACUGCAGCUCGCCUUUAUGGCCGGCCUUCGGGCACGUUCGAGCUUAGGAUGUUGACAUAAUGGCUUUAAACGACCCGUC
rnacentral:rRNA from 1 species